rnacentral:lncRNA from 1 species
UUUAAUUUUGGACCCUUUGGACCUUAAUGUAGACCAAUUUGAAAACGGGACCAAAAAUUAAGAAUCUACAUACACAGUCAUGACAGUUAGAUUCGGCAUAUCAAAGAACCCCAAUUAUUCAAUUUUGAUGAAAUCAAACAAAGUUUAAUUUUGGACCCUUUGGGCCCCUUAUUCUGUUGGGACCAAAACUCCCAAAAUCAAUACCAACCUUCCUUUUAUGGUCAUAAACCUUGUGUUUAAAUUUCAUAGAUUUCUAUUUACUUAUACUAACGUUAUGGUGCGAAAACCAAGAAAAAUGCUUAUUUGGGUCCCUUUUUGGCCCCUAAUUCCUAAACUGUUGGGACCUAAACUCCCAAAAUCAAUACCAACCUUCCUUUUGAAGUCAUUAACAUUGUGUUUAAAUUUCAUUGAUUUCUAUUUACUUAAACUAAAGUUAUUGUGCGAAAACCAAGAAUAAUGCUUAUUUGGGCCCUUUUUUGGCCCCUAAUUCCUAAACUGUUGAAACCAAAACUCCCAAAAUCAAUCCCAAC